rnacentral:rRNA from 1 species
GUGGGGAAUAUUGCACAAUGGGGGAAACCCUGAUGCAGCAACGCCGCGUGAGUGAUGAAGGCCUUCGGGUUGUAAAGCUCUGUCUUUGGGGACGAUAAUGACGGUACCCAAGGAGGAAGCCACGGCUAACUACGUGCCAGCAGCCGCGGUAAUACGUAGGUGGCAAGCGUUGUCCGGAUUUACUGGGCGUAAAGGGAGCGUAGGUGGAUAUUUAAGUGGGAUGUGAAAUCCCCGGGCUUAACCUGGGGGCUGCAUUCCAAACUGGAUGUCUAGAGUGCAGGAGAGGAGAGUGGAAUUCCUAGUGUAGCGGUGCAAUGCGUAGAGAUUAGGAAGAACACCAGUGGCGAAGGCGACUCUCUGGACUGUAACUGACACUGAGGCUCGAAAGCGUGGGGAGCAAACAGGAUUAGAUACCCCGGUAGUCC